GUUGUUGCAAUAGUAAUCCUGCUCAGUACGAGAGGAACCGCAGGUUCAGACAUUUGGUGUGUGUGCUUGGCUGAGGAGCCAAUGGUGCGAAGCUACCAUCUGUGGGAUUAUGACUGAACGCCUCUAAGUCAGAAUCCCCCCUCGACGUGACGAU
rnacentral:ncRNA from 1 species